AUGCUUGCUUUGGCAGCACAUAUACUAAAACUGAAACGAUACAGAGAAGAUUAGCAUGGCCCCUGUGCAAGGAUGAUCUGCAAAUUCGUGAAGCAUUCCAUAUUUUU
rnacentral:snRNA from 1 species